GAUGAACGCUGGCGGCGUGCUUAACACAUGCAAGUCGAACGAUAAAUGGCUACGGAAACCUUCGGUCGGAAGCCUUCAUUUCACGUGUCGGACACGUGCGUAACGCGUGGGUAACCUUCCUCAUACAGGGGGCUAACAGUUGGAAACGACUGUUAAUCCCGCAUAAGACCACAGCACCGCAUUGUGCCGGGGGAAAAACUCCGGUGGGAUGAGAUGGACCCUCAUUAGAUUAGCCAGUUGGCGGUGUAACGGCCCACCAACGCGACGAUCGAUAGCCGAGCGGAGAGCAGGACAGGCCACAAUGGGAAUGAGACCCGGACUAAACCGCGAGGGGAGGCAGCGGUAGGGAAUAUUGCAGAAUGGGGGAAAACCUGAUGCAGCGGCGCCGCGUGAGUGAAGAAGUACGUCGGUAUGUAAAGCUCUAUCAGCAGGGAAGAAAAUGACGGUACCUGAGUAAGAAGCCCCGGCUAACUACGUG
rnacentral:rRNA from 1 species